AGAACCCUCCUGCUGGAAAACCUGGUCCCCCGCCAGCUCCCAGCCCCGCCAACCCUCUCACGUGAUUUCUGAACCCCCACCAGCCCCCAGCCCCGCUUUCCCUCAGCCUUGAGGCGCCCGCAGUCAGACCCUCUUCACGGCAUCUUCUUCUCCCCCAAGCAAGAAAGUAAGAAAAGGGGCCAGUUCCACCAUCCCAGAUCUAGAAACCUUCAUAGCCCUGCAAUGGCGACCACAGAAAGCUAAAAAAUCAGAGAAGAAACCAGAGAAACGCAGGAAGGGCUAUUGAAGAAGAAGCACAGAGGUUGACAAUGAUUGACCUGAAUGAGGAACCAGAUGAAAAUAAUGGUGAUCCUACGUACUGUACAUAACAUGAUGCUGGAAAUGCAGAAUUUGUGGCAGAAUCGCCUAAUUCCCCUAUCAUGCAAAAAGACGGUGCUGCUGCUGCAGAAUCAAUGGAAACAGAUGCGCACUCAAGUCGUGGGAGAGGGGCUCCAGGCAAUACACAAGUACCUGCAGCAGUAGCAACUGAGAGUGAUGCUCAUACCCUUGAUGGCACAGGUGCUGCAGGUGAUAUUGGUGGGACUGUUGGUAAUGGUUUGGGUACUGAAAAUGAUGAUGAAGCUUGGUCACAACCCAUGAAGCCGUAUGUGGGCAUGAGGUUUGACACUUUCGAAGAUGCCAAGGAGCACUACAAUGCAUAUUCCUUGCAGAUGUGUUUUUCAGUCAAAAUGAAUACUUCAAGGAAGGAUAUGAAAACUGGGGAGUUGGCAACAGUUUGUUUGCAACAAGUUUCGAAAGCCUGAUGUCCAGGACGGCGGGGCAGAAAAUAUUCCUGAGCUAGAUGACAUUGUUGAGCAAACAAAAGAUGAUGAUGAAGAUGAGGAUAUUGUCUUUCUUGAUGAUGAUGAUAGUAAAGCCAAAAAGAGAAGCAAGGAACGAAAAAGAGAUAAAAGUGUGCAAACUGGUUGCAAAGCUAAGAUGGUUGUGAAGCUAAUAAAUGGCGGAUGGGAGGUGAUCUACUUUGUUGGCGAGCAUAACCAUCCGUUGCUUGACAAGCCAUGUUUGACUAAGUAUUUGCGAUCACACCAAGGGAUCCCAGCAGAAGAAAGGACCUUCCUUACUCAUCUUCAUAACUGCAAUUUGACUACAGCAGAAGAAUUGGGGGAUGCAGCAUUUAGAAGGGGUGUCACGCCUCGAACUCACACUCUUAUUUGGGAGCACGAGCGAUAUGUGCAGGUUGGGGGUGGGGGCGAUUGGCACUCUCUUUUUUUCCGGGUGGAUUGGCACUUUUAUGGGAGGGAUGGAAUUCAGCUAGCACCUCCUCCUCCAUGAACCGUACAAAGAAAGUAGUUGCGCAGAAAUUGUCCCUCCUUCCUCUUAGGGGCUACAACUCUCGGGCCUCGAGGGUUUAGUGUAAUCGUCAUGUAUUCGUGGACCUAUUGUUUUGCUCUCACGAUUUGAAUUA